rnacentral:lncRNA from 1 species
ACAAGUGUAGUCACAUAUGUCGUCACAUAUGUCGUCAAAUAUGUCGUCAAAUAUGUCGUCAAAUAUGUCGUCAAAUAUGUCGUCAUAUAUGUCGUCACAAGUGUCGUCAUGUGGUAGGAGGCAUCACGUUCCACUUAGUAAACUUCUUAUUAUAUUGUCCUUGGCACUGGAUAUAGCUUGGUUUAAAGCAGUAGGUUCUUGAAAAUCACCUUCCUGCAUGUAUAAUCGGUUAAUAAUAACAUUCGGAUUUGUUUCCAUUAUAAUACCAGAAUCUGCAAUUUCGUCAAGUAAUAAAUAAACCGAAUUUAAUUUAUUUAAUAAAUGUUUUCUAUCAAUUUUAUUAUUUGUAACACUAAGUAAAGAUUGAUGAACAGUUAAAAGUAAUUCGUUUAAUAUUAAUUCGUUAUUUGUUUCAUCACCCACAACAUAAAUAUUUAUAUCAUUAACUGAAAGAAAUAAAAUUGUAUAUGUUUCUAAAACUAUUAUAUCUACUUCGUUAGACGUAUAUCCCAUCCUUUUAACUUUUUCUGUAAUAUCAGCUUCAAAUAGUUUUUGACUUUCUAUAGUUAAUAAAUUAUUAUAAGCUUCUUCACAUUUGAAGUUUACUGGUUCACUAUUUGAUAAAUCAAGAAAACAAUUACUACCUUGUGUUCUUGUGUAUACUUUUUCAUUCAUUUUUUGACUAUUUUCGUUAUAAUAUUUUACAGCAAUUCGUUUUCCAUCCAUAUCGAGGAUUAUAAUGGCGCUUAGUUGUUUUAACGAAAGGUCUUUCAUUUUUUUUUUUUUUUUUUUUUUUUUUUUUUUUUUUUUUUUUUUUUUUUUUUUUUUUUUUUUUUUUUUUUUUAAUGUGAAAAAAAAAAUUAUUAAAAAAGAGUUUAUUUUUGUUUUAUCAAAUUGGAGUAUACUUAUGUAUGUGUAUGGAUGUAUUAUGUAUGAAGUUGCCCAUGUGCAUUCUCUCUGGGAGAACAUAUUGAUAAACAAAUGUGGGCAAUUAUAUAUGUGCAAAGGGUCUUUCAAUUUUGGCUUUAAUCAAAUUAGUUAAAAUAAAAAGAAUUGGAGCAAAGCA